GUUUUAAUUAAGGUACAAUCAUAUUGGGUUGACAAUUUUGUUAUAUGUUAACUGCUAUAUGGUUAUAGUAACAUGGUGCAGCAUAAUAUGAUUUUAGUUUAUGAAUGAAAUGAAAUAGAUUAUGCAAUGUAAUAAAAGAUCAUACAACGCAAAGGAUUUGAAUUUCUUAAACACAGACCGGUUGAAAACCACAAACAUGGAACACCUAAACAAUAUGCUAUAUGGAUUACUUUUGUUAAAACUUUCAAAACAAUUAAAAUUACCCUUUUUGCCCAUUGUAUAAAUAACUUAUGCUAACCUUUAAAGUGUUCUUUACUCUUCUUUGCGUCUCAUUAGUUAUUUUCAGUCAAGAUUAUUAUUGUUAUUUAUAUGAUGCCCUAUGGUUCCAAGUAUAAGUAAACUUUGUUUCACAAUGUGCCAAAAUUGCCCUAUGUGUUAUAGCUGCAGCUAAUAUUGAUGUCUUCUACAGACAAAAUGUAGGAAAGUUUU
rnacentral:misc_RNA from 1 species